UACGUAGGGUCCGAGCGUUGUCCGGAAUUAUUGGGCGUAAAGGGCUCGUAGGCGGUCUGUUGCGUCGGGAGUGAAAAAUUCGCAGCUUAACUGUGAACUUGCUUCCGAUACGGGCAGACUUGAGGUAUUCAGGGGAGAACGGAAUUCCUGGUGUAGCGGUGAAAUGCGCAGAUAUCAGGAAGAACACCCGUGGCGAAGGCGGUUCUCUGGAACGCAACUGACGCUGAGACGCGAAAGCGUGGGGAGCAAACAGG
rnacentral:rRNA from 1 species